AAAAAUUUGAAAAUAAAAAGAUUGGAACCAGCGUAUGGAAACAGAGAAUUCCCUCUGCCUUCCCACCUCGUACCAGAAACUCUUUCGUUUCCAUUAGGAAAUUGAUUGGAUGUCAAAAAAAAAAUCGCAUUUUUCUGUGGCUUCAAGCUUGUUGGGCUAAUGGGUUUUGCUUUUUGAGCCAACGGAAUCCGGUACUUCUACAGAGAUUGAAGGAAUCACCAGGAUUUCACUCAACAUGGAAGAAUCAAGUGGAGUGCACUCUGAAGAGAAUAAAGCAUCUAUGGAGAAAGAUAGGAAAAGAAGGCUCAAGACACCUGCCCAGGUUAUGGCUUUGGAAAAAUUUUAUGACGAGCACAAAUACCCUACGGAAGAAAUGAAGUCCCAACUUGCAGAGCAGAUAGGAUUGACAGAAAAGCAAAUAUCUGGAUGGUUUUGUCACAGAAGGUUAAAAGACAAAAAACUGUUCAGAGAUGAAGCUUGUCCUAGUGGACGACAAGAUCAUUCAGGUGCUGUUAUUCAGGAUCGUGGCAGUGGACUCGUACAAGAUUCAUGUGGCAGCACAAAACAUGGUGAUUAUAGGCACAUUGAUCCAAGGGAAGUUGAAAGUCGAAGGCUCUAUCGCAAUGAUUUUCAGGCUGCAGGCCUCACCUAUGAGCAUGCGACUCAUUAUACAGGAACUGUCCGUGGCACAGAUAAUAGAUCUUCAGAAAGUAGCUCAUCUUCGCAAGACAGAUUGUUUCGCCAAACUGAGGAUCCAGAUGAUAGGGAAAAUUCUAGAUACCUAACACAUAAUGGAGUCAUUGCACCCAUAAAUGCUACUAGUGAAAAAGUGAUUGGAUAUAAGCCAUCAGGAUACUUGAAAGUGAAGGGUGAAAUUGAAAAUGCUGCUGUUACUGCUGUUAAGAGGCAAUUGGGGCGUCAUUAUCGAGAGGAUGGUCCACUGCUUGGUGUGGAAUUUCAACCACUUCCUCCCGGUGCAUUUGAGUAUCCGAUUAGGAAUGCCAUCCGUGAACCUUACUAUGUUGGGAAUCCUUCUCUUACCCAUUCUCCAGAUAUCUCUGGACCAGAAAGGCAACGUAGUCUCAGCAAUAGAUAUGAGAUGUACAAUUCCAAUAUGAGUUCACAGGAUUUAUAUAUAGAAAGGGAGAAUUGUGGCAGCAUGCAUGGCUCUGACUAUCAGGACAAGAUAUCUCAUCCCCAAUUCAAACAGAAUUCAACUGUUCUCAACCAUACAAAACCUUUCUGUAAGCAGAACUCUUUCUCUGAUCUGUAUGAAGAUUCUGCAGGAGAAACCACUGUUUACAGCAAUAAGAGGAAUCAAAGAAUGAGUGGUAAGCAUGAUGUUGAAGGGAUGAGGACUGAUGCUAUCGCUAAUCUUCACGGUCACCAUGAUGUGAAAAUCGGAAGUGAGUUGCAUGAUUAUGAUAAUGUCAGCCCCAACAUUAUCCAUAUGAGUGAAAAAUUCAAAUCGAAGCCUUCGAUAUUGAUUCGUAAUCCCUGCGAAUCAGUUGAUACAGAUACAGAGGAGAGGGGGUUAUCUAUGAGGAUGAAAAAGAAGGAGAAAGUCAAUCGAAAACUCAAGGGUAUUAAAGAAUAUGGAAACCAAGUUAACUUAAAGAUGCAUCCAACAAAGGAAAUGAUGUGUUUUUCCUUGCUAUUGAUGCCCCAUUUGAAAUUGAAGGUUGCAAAACGAGUCAUACCUGAUCUUCCUAAAACAGACUAUGUGCAAAAAGCAUCAUUCACUGGAAUGCCGACAUGGACACAUCGGAGCAAAGGAUCUGUCAUGGAGAUCCCUUCUAGCUUUAGCGAGGAUGAAACUGCAGAAACCAGCUCUUCCCUGGAAUAGGAGCCAGCUGUUGAUGGAUGGUAGAAAGCUUUAAUGUUCUCAAAGCGAUGGGCAUGUACACUCCAAUGCAGAAUCACUUCUUUAUAGUUACAAGGGAAGCACUACUUACCAUUAUCAUCAUCAGCAACAAAAUUUCAGUCCACUGGCUAGCAAUUUCUUUUGCAGUUGCAGCGCUCACCUGUUUAUAUGUGUAGAAAGAAUUCCUUUUUUUUUUUUUUUAUGUUUUCAUUUGAGUUUUACUGCUUCGCAGAGGAAAAUAUUGGUAAUGAACGCUUGGCUGUAAGAUUCAUAUGCCUGGAUCUGCAAAGGAUCAAGCUCCCGAACAACAGCGGAUAUUUUACCGAUACAAUUGUUACAUGAACUGAAAAUAUUGGAACGGAGUCAUUAUCACAGGUUUUCUCCAGAUAUGUGAUAAUUUUAGCAUUUUAGUGCUUUGUAUCUUAGUUAGCUUUUUAAAACCUCUCACAAGCAAUGCUUCUUCUGCUUGGAAAUGCCUAUCCUGUUGGCUUUGCUUAAAUUGUCUUUGAAUUUCAUGCUCUCCUUGCUUUAUUGUAUUUGAUAUGUUUUAGUAUACAACAAAAGGGAGGAAAAGGAUUGGCGCGGCA